rnacentral:rRNA from 1 species
AUGGAGAUGGAGAUGGAGAUGGAUGGGAAGAGCAACGACGUGACCAAGGUGGCCAAGGAGGACCCUUCCCUUUCACAGGCCAUGGCUCUCAUGGAGGGCAACAACUGCAGCAACGGCAGCGAUACCAAGGAAGGGGGAGAUAAUCGGCUAGAUGGAGAGGGUGUCAUUGUCAAGAAGCAGAAUGUCGCCAUGGCCAUGGGAACGGAGUUCUUGGACUUCCCUAUCAGCUUCGCCCCCCUUAGCCCUCCGGUUUUCCAAACAAAGGCGAACAAGGUUUGGGGCGUGUGCUCCAGGGACGUCUCGACCCGCUGCCACGACAUGGAGCGUGUCGUCGACUCCAUCAUCGUGCGAGGCUCCUAUGUCGUGCAUGGGUGCGGCGACACAAUUGCCUACCACAAGAAGAGGGCGCACGAGGAGCACGAGUGGCCAACGACACGCUUCCAGUACUACAAGGCAUUUGACGUACCCGUCAAGGCCAGCGUGCAUGUGCUCCGUGGAGGCGAGGAUGGCCACCCCUUUCUGCUUCACGUGGUGCCCCUGGACUCCACACCGCUGCAUGGGGUCUCGCUGGGCCAUUACCAGGCCUCAACGCUGGAUACGAUCAGGAGCACGUCGCUUUCUGAUAGACUGCCGACAAACUACUUCCUCACCGUUCCCAAGGCUUGUCGUGGAGGUGGCGCCCGUGUCGUGCUUAGCGUGACAAUUGAUACAGAGAUGGUGUAUGGAGACGAUGACGAGCUGGAGGAGGAGAAUGAGGAUGAUGAGAGCUGCAACAAGGAGGAAGAUGAGGACGAGGACAGCGAUGAAGACGAGGAUAAUGAAACUAGCGACGAGGAUGAUGAGAGCUACAACAAUAAGGAGGAGGAGGAGGAGGAGAUAGAGAUCACCAUGAGGAUAAUGCGACUAGCGACGAGGAUGAUGAAAGUUGGGAGGAGGUGA